rnacentral:rRNA from 1 species
AAACACGGACCAAGGAGUCUAACAUGUGCGCGAGUCAUUGGGUUGACACUAAACCUAAAGGCGCAAUGAAAGUGAAGGUCCCGCCUCGUGCGGACCGAGGGAAGAUGGGGCGCGCUGCUGCGCGGCUCCCGCAUUCCCGGGGCGUCUCGUUCUCACUGCGAGUUGAGGCGCACCCAGAGCGUACACGUUGGGACCCGAAAGAUGGUGAACUAUGCCUGGCCAGGACGAAGUCAGGGGAAACCCUGAUGGAGGUCCGUAGCGAUUCUGACGUGCAAAUCGAUCGUCGGAGCUGGGUAUAGGGGCGAAAGACUAAUCGAACCAUCUAGUAGCUGGU